rnacentral:rRNA from 1 species
UGCGCUAAGGUAUCCCCGGACGCGCAUGCUGUUUCUUGCCUUGUGUGUCAACGCCUGUUCGCGAUCGAGGAAAACUCCAGGGACAUGGUAGCCUGCCCCCGGGCGGGUGAAUGUGCCUGGUAGAACUCAUUUGCGAACUGAUCCCAUCGUGUCUGGUUGCAGCGCGUUGCGUCUCCGCGACGACCUCGGCCGGGGAGCUCGCUCCCGGCGCCGGGGGGCUCGGGUGACCAGGGCGCUUCCCUGACAC